rnacentral:rRNA from 1 species
GCUAAGGUAGCGUAGUCAGUAGUCUUUUAAAUGGAGGCUUGUAUGAACGGCUGGAUGAGGGACAUUCUGUCUUUUUUUUAUUUAAAGAAUUUAACUUUUAAGUGAAAAGGCUUAAAUUUUUUGGGGGGACGAUAAGACCCUAUAAAACUUUAUACAUUCUGUUCUUGGUUGGUAAUUGUGUUUAACUCGGCUUUGUGCGGUUUGUGUUCCGUUGGGGAAACGUUGAUAUAAGUUGUAAUUGUUUAUAAAAAUUUUAUAGUUAUUGCUAGAUUUUGAUCCUUUAUUAUGGAUUAUAAGUCUAAGUUACUUUAGGGAUAACAGCGUAAUUUUCUUUGAGAGUUCUUAUCGACAAGAUUAGUUGCGACCUCGAUGUUGAAUUAAAAUUUUAGGUUGGUGUAGUAGCUGACUUUAUAGGUCUGUUCGACCUUUAAAAUUUUACAUGAUUUGAGUUCAAACCGGUGUGAGCCAGG